AUUGAACGCUGGCGGCAUGCCUUACACAUGCAAGUCGAACGGUAACAGGUCUUCGGAUGCUGACGAGUGGCGAACGGGUGAGUAAUACAUCGGAACGUGCCCGAGAGUGGGGGAUAACGGAGCGAAAGCUUUGCUAAUACCGCAUACGAUCUACGGAUGAAAGCAGGGGACCGCAAGGCCUUGCGCUCAUGGAGCGGCCGAUGGCAGAUUAGGUAGUUGGUGGGAUAAAAGCUUACCAAGCCGACGAUCUGUAGCUGGUCUGAGAGGACGACCAGCCACACUGGGACUGAGACACGGCCCAGACUCCUACGGGUGGCAG
rnacentral:rRNA from 1 species